rnacentral:rRNA from 1 species
UACAGAGGUGGCAAGCGUUGCUCGGUAUCACUGGGCUUAAAGGGCGCGUAGGCGGUGCGGUACGGUUUCGGUGAAAUCCCUCGGCCCAACCGAGGAACAGCCGGGGCUACGGCCGCGCUAGACGGCAUCAGGGGACAGUGGAACUUCCGGUGGAGCGGUGAAAUGCGUAGAUAUCGGAAGGAACGCCGGUGGCGAAAGCGACUGUCUGGGGUGCCUGUGACGCUGAGGCGCGAAAGCCAGGGGAUCAAACGGG